ACGCUCGACACCUAGGCAGCAGUAGGGAAUCUUCCACAAUGGACGCAAGUCUGAUGGAGCAACGCCGCGUGAGUGAAGAAGGUCUUCGGAUCGUAAAACUCUGUUGUUAGAGAAGAACACGAGUGAGAGUAACUGUUCAUUCGAUGACGGUAUCUAACCAGCAAGUCACGGCUAACUACGUACCAGCAGCCGCGGUAAUCUGAGCGGGCUGGCAAGGC
rnacentral:rRNA from 1 species